ACCCCCCACACCCUCCCCCCCGGGACCACGUGACGGAGAAGUUGAGGAUAAUGACGUCGUCGUCGGCGGCGAGGAACCAGCACCUGGAUGAGCUCCGCGCUCUCAUGGCGUCGCACUCGCCGCCGAUCCACGCGCUCCUCAUCCCCUCCGAGGAUGCUCACCAGGUUGUUGCUCCUGCCGCCCGCGCCUAUCGGAACCGAUCAGGGUAGAUCAGAUCCUGUCGGGCUCGACUGCGCCGAGUUUAGGAGCGAGUACGUGUCGGAGCGGGACAAGCGGCGGCAAUUCAUCUCCGGGUUCACUGGGAGCGCUGGGUUGGCCCUUAUCACUACAAAGGAGGCGUUAUUAUGGACGGAUGGACGAUACUUCUUGCAGGCCACAAAUCAACUUAGCGAUCGGUGGAGACUCAUGCGCAUGGGAGAAGACCCACCAGUCGAAGUCUGGAUAGCUGAUAAUCUCUCGGAUGAAGCGGUUAUUGGAAUUGAUUCAUGGUGCAUCUCUGUGGAUUCUGCUCAGAGAUAUGAGCAAGCAUUUUUAAAGAAGAAUCAGACGUUGUUUCAGCUUUCCUCUGACCUCGUCGAUGAAGUUUGGAAAGAUCGUCCUCCGAAUGAUGCUACACCUGUAAUUGUGCACCCUGUAGAAUUUGCUGGGCGUAGUGUAGCACAAAAGAUGAAGGAGUUAAGAGAAAAGUUACAACAUGAAAAGGCUAGUGGCAUUAUAAUUACUGCCCUUGAUGAGGUUGCUUGGUUGUACAAUGUUCGGGGAAAUGAUGUGCAUUACAGCCCAGUGGUUCAUUCUUAUGCUAUUGUAACCCUGCAUGGUGCCUUCUUUUAUGUGGAUAAGAGAAAAGUAACAACUGAGGUUAAAAAUUACAUGUCUGAAAGUGGUAUUGAUAUCAGAGAGUAUGAUAUGGUUCAGCUGGAUGUGAGCUUGCUUGCAUCUGGACAGCUAAAAGGCUCUGCAGUUAAUGGUAGCUUGCACAUGGAAAAGGAUAUCAACGCGGCGGAACAUUCCAAAAUCUGGAUUGAUUCAAAUUCGUGUUGCCUUGCACUCUACUCAAAGCUUAGACCAGAUCAAGCUUUGAUGCUGCAAUCGCCCAUUGCUCUACCAAAGGCUGUCAAGAAUCCCAUGGAGCUGACUGGUUUGAGGAAGGCACACAUUCGAGAUGGCGCAGCUGUUGUGCAAUACCUGGCUUGGCUGGAUAAUCAGAUGCAAGAGAACUAUGGGGCCUCUGGUUACUUCAGUGAGGCCAAUGGGUCACAGAAAAAAGAGCAUUUGCACAUCCCUUGUAGUUCCAAGUUUCAACUAUCAGACGGAAUUUUCUAUUUGCAUCUUAUUUUUCAGGAAAUAAAACUUACUGAGGUUUCUGUCAGUGAUAAACUCGAAGCCUUCCGCGCAGAGAAAGAGCAUUUUAAAGGUUUAAGUUUUCCUACGAUAUCAUCUGUGGGGCCAAAUGCAGCAAUAAUUCACUAUUCUCCUGAGGCAAAUACAUGUGCGGAACUUGAUGCUGAUAAAAUAUAUCUCUGUGACUCUGGGGCACAGUACCUGGAUGGCACUACAGACAUUACAAGAACUGUACAUUUUGGUAAACCCUCAGAGCAUCAGAAAUUGUGCUACACUGCUGUCUUGAAAGGCCACAUUGCCCUAGAUGCUGCUGUGUUCCCUAAUGGGACCACAGGUCAUGCUCUUGACAUACUGGCAAGAACCCCACUGUGGAAAAGUGGUCUUGACUAUCGGCAUGGCACAGGCCAUGGAAUCGGAUCUUAUUUGAAUGUCCAUGAAGGCCCUCAUCUAAUUAGCUUCAGACCUUCUGCUCGCAAUGUACCACUGCAAGCAUCAAUGACUGUAACAGAUGGGAAUGUAAGUUGCAUAAUCUCUUGUUGCAGAGCCUGGUUACUACGAAGAUGGAAACUUUGGUAUAAGGUUGGAGAAUGUUCUUAUAGUCAAAGAGGCUGAUACUAAAUUUAAUUUUGGGGAGAAGGGUUAUUUGUCAUUUGAACAUAUAACAUGGGCUCCAUACCAGACUAAACUUAUAAACACUGCCUUGUUGACCCCUGCGGAGAUCGAAUGGGUAAACUUGUACCACUCCGAGUGCCAGAAAAUCUUGGAGUCUUACCUAAAUGUUCAGGAGAAGGAAUGGCUGAGGAAGGCCACCGAACCUAUAACUGCGAGCAGUUAAGCCAGCCACUUCAUGGUUACUGCUGUUGUGCGCCAAACGUAGAUAGAUGGCUACCCGAAUAUUUAAUCAACUUUAAUAAGUGUGAAUAGCACCAAGUGAGCACCCGUAUUCUUUAUGUAUUUCGUGUCGCCUAGCUUGAGGCCGGAAAUAAGAAUACAGAGAUACUGAAUGAAUACUGAAUUGUUACUUUGCUUGAAGACGAGUUGACUGGUUCUUGUUA